AAUUACCUGCGAGGGUUGUUGCUGGCCUCUCGGGGCAUGUGCACGCCUGAGCUCUUAAUCCACUUACACCUGUGAACCCAAUGUGGGGACGUCCUGAAAGGGGCGAUUCCCAUGUAUUUCAUAAACUCUUUGUAUGUCUCAGAAUGUCUUAUGUUUGCUUACACGCAAUCUAAAUACAACUUUCAACAACGGAUCUCUUGGCUCUCGCAUCGAUGAAGAACGCAGCGAAAUGCGAUAAGUAAUGUGAAUUGCAGAUUUUCAGUGAAUCAUCGAAUCUUUGAACGCACCUUGCGCUCCUUGGUAUUCCGAGGAGCAUGCCUGUUUGAGUGUCAUUAAAUUCUCAACUUCACCGAUUUGUUUUGAGUGAAGCUUGGACUUGGAGCGUGCUGGCCCCGACCGGGUCGGCUCCUCUUUAAAUGCAUCAGCGGAGUCAUCAUGGACUUGCUGGUAUCGGUGUGAUAAUCACAUUGCGCCGUUAACCUGAGUCUCUGGUCCGCUUACAAUGGUCUUCGGACAACAUAUCAAAUUUUGACCUCAAAUCAGGUAGGACUACCCGCUGAACUUAAGCAUAUCAAUAAGCGGAGGAAAAGAAACUAACAAGGAUUCCCCUAGUAACUGCGAGUGAAGCGGGAAAAGCUCAAAUUUAAAAUCUGGCGGUCUCCGGCCGUCCGAGUUGUAAUCUGGAGAAGCGUUUUCUGCGUUGGACCGUGUACAAGUUUUCUGGAAUGGAACGUCAUAGAGGGUGAGAAUCCCGUCUUUGACACGGACUACCAAUGCUUUGUGAUACGCUCUCGAAGAGUCGAGUUGUUUGGGAAUGCAGCUCAAAAUGGGUGGUAAAUUCCAUCUAAAGCUAAAUAUUGGCGAGAGACCGAUAGCGAACAAGUACCGUGAGGGAAAGAGAAAAGCACUUUGAAAGA
rnacentral:misc_RNA from 1 species